GUGGUCCAAAACUGCCAGAACCAAUUAGGUGCCCAGAAAUUCUGGGUAACACCAAUCCGGCCAACCUUAGAAAAAUGACCAUAUCUUGGGCUACAAAACUCCAAAUAGAGUGAUUCAAAAAGGGAAUUAAACUAGAUACAAUAAGGAACAACUUUGAUGAAGAACAUUUGAUCAAAUUCUCACUGUAGAAUGGCCUAAUGGAACAGUAAUCUCUAGCCUCCAAAACUGAAAUUUCUGAUUUAUUCACCAUUGGUUAGAAGUAUGGAUUGACAACUAAUGCUAACACUUUUGGGAAUCAAAAUGUGAUAAAUUUAUGUGAUUAGGAUUUAUGUAGCUAUUAUGCAUUAGAAAGUCAAUAAAUUGACCUAAAUAGUAAAAUGAAUAGUAACCUUACAUGUAAAUCAAUAACUUGGUAAUGUGCCCUAGUACAUCUAGUAAGAUUCGUUUGGAUAGGUUGGCAUGCCAA
rnacentral:misc_RNA from 1 species